AGUGAACGCUGGCGGCGUGCUUAACACAUGCAAGUCGAACGAGAACGGAAUAUAGCUUGCUAUAUUUGUCAGCUAAGUGGCGCACGGGUGAGUAAUGUAUAGAUAACCUGCCCUUAAGAAAGGAAUAACAGUUGGAAACGACUGCUAAUGCCCUAUAUGCCUUUAAUACAUAAGUAUGCAAGGGAAACGCUUUAGUGCUUAAGGAUGGGUCUGUAUGGUAGCAGCUUGUUGGUGAUGUAAUGGCUCACCAAGGCUAUGACGCCUAACUGGUUUGAGAGGAUGAUCAGUCACACUGGAACUGAGACACGGUCCAGACUCCUACGGGAGGCAGCAGUGGGGAAUAUUGCACAAUGGACGAAAGUCUGAUGCAGCAACGCCGCGUGGAGGAUGACACAUUUCGGUGCGUAAACUCCUUUUAUAUAGGAAGAUAAUGACGGUACUAUAUGAAUAAGCACCGGCUAACUCCGUGCCAGCAGCCGCCGUAAUAC
rnacentral:rRNA from 1 species